AAUGAUGUGACCAUUCUAGAUGAUGAUGUAGACGAAAAUGUAAUCGAAACUGUUGACCAGCCAAGCCCACUUCACCCCAUCUUAGAACCAUCAUUACAGGUCUUUGAUCAAAGCCUAUUUCUUGUAUUUGGGUAUACUCACUAUAUUUGAAUAUACCCAAUUCGUGGUUCCAUAAAGAAUGUGUUUGAAGCUAUUCAAAAUUUGAGACUAUUCUUAAUAUUUUAGAAUCUUUUUAUGGGGUAGAAUAUGUAUGUUCUUCAACAAAUUUGCUACAAACAUACAUUGUUUAAUUUAUUUUUACUUUUUACAGAUUUGUCCAAUUUGCCAGAUCUCUUUCCCAACUGAUGUCUUGCCUUUUCAUGCAAGCAUGUGUGGUGAAGGGUAAAGUUAUGCUAAAAAUUGUAGGAUGACAUGCCUUUAAUACUAAAGGAUUAGUUUGCACAGUUUGUUUUGGUUGUAUAUAUCUCGAGGGAGAUGUACAAAGAUCAGAUGGAAUGUAGGGUAAAAAAUUAACAAAAUAAUUUUCUGGUGGACUGUCUUAAAUUUAAAUUAAUGUGUUGGUUUCAUAAACUGGGUCAGUAGUAGACAUUAUUAGAUUUGAUGUAUGUAGCUUUUAUAAGCCUUGCUUUGAGAAAAUCAUUACUGGUGACUUUUGACAUUAAUGACUUUGUCUGGCACUAGGGUCUAAGCCUUGUCUAUGAAACUGGGCAAAUGCUUUUAAUAUGCAUGAAAAUUUUUGAAGUGGCUUAAUGAACAAAAUUGAAAUUGUUUGUGUCUUGCCUGUUUUAGAGAAAGGACUUUUGGUGACAAUGAUUCUUCAUUCACUUUAAAUACAGAAGAAUUGCCAGGACCCUCAACUGCACAAUCUUCAACAUCCCUGUCUGCAGCAUGGAAAAAUGAAAUUGACCCAUUCAAAUCAUCUCGAAUGUUCUGUGAUGAGUUGCUCUCCAUCAAUUCACACUGUCCAUUUCUAUCAUUACUCAUCAACCAGUUUGAUACUAUGGAUGAACAAGAUAGUACCCUGGUUUCAUUUUAUAAAAUGAACAGUGCUAAUUGGUCCACUCCAUUGAAAUAUAGAUUGACUGGAGAUGCAGCUGUUGGCAAGGGAGUUAACCGCCAUAUUUUGUCAAUGAUG